AUUGAACGCUGGCGGAAUGCUUUACACAUGCAAGUCGAACGAUGAACCUUAGCUUGCUAGGGGGAUUAGUGGCGAACGGGUGAGUAAUAUAUCGGAACGUGCCUUGUUAUGGGGGAUAACUAGUCGAAAGAUUAGCUAAUACCGCAUACGCCCUGAGGGGGAAAGUAGGGGAGCUUCGGACCUUACGUUCUAAGGGGGGCCGAUGUCCGAUUAGCUAGUUGGUGGGGUAAUGGCCUACCAAGGCGACGAUCAGUAGCUGGUCUGAGAGGACGACCAGCCACACUGGAACUGAGACACGGUCCAGACUCCUACGGGAGGCAGCAGUGGGGAAUUUUGGACAAUGGGCGCAAGCCUGAUCCAGCCAUUCCGCGUGAGUGAAGAAGGCCUUCGGGUUGUAAAGCUCUUUCGCAAGGGAAGAAAACUUACCAUCGAAUAAAUGGUGAGGCUGACGGUACCUUGAUAAGAAGCACCGGCUAACUACGUG
rnacentral:rRNA from 1 species